AUGAGAGUAGGUUAUUUGAUUUAAUAGUGGUCUCUUUGGAUCUCUAAAAAUCUUUGCAUGUGCAUUCAAAAAGUAAAUAGAAAUAGUAAAUGCCAGUUGAUUGAAAAUCAUGAUACUUUUGAGAUGAUACUAAAUUUUUACAAUAUGAUAUAAAUCAGAAUAGUGUAGACAGCCAAUUUACAUAAUUCAACCCCAGAAAAUUAACUACAUACAUUCACUAUGUAAUGACUUAAUUCACUUAAGUUGAGCCAAGUGUCAUAAAUUUGCAAUGAACAUUUUUACUUUUUAAAAAAUGAGCUAAUUUUAGAUUUGUCACAGAAAACUACUAUUCAUUGACAUCGCAAAUUGGAAUUAUUAACAGAAAAGCUCAUUUCAAAUAUGGAGAACAUAAGAGAGUGUAGUGAUUGGGAUGUGUUCUCAACAUCAAACUGUAAGAAGAAAAUUUAAUAGCCAGAACUUGAGAAAAAUAUAAUGGGCUACCCGAUGAAUCACUUGGCAGGAAUAUUAUCAAUGGAAUUAAAUAAUGGCCUACUGUCAGUUUAAUUCAAUCAUCUCUUUAGUUAGUAUAUCAAAUUUCAUUCGUAUAUUAUGAGAGGUGAUGCCAUCAUUUUAUCUGCCUGUCUCAUUCUGACUAUAGAAUUUGAGCAACUUCACCAUUCUUCGUUCUUGUUUUGAUGGUCAAAGUUGCUGAAUAAUUGCUUCUUUCCUCCUUUGUGUGUCUUAGGACAAAUACAGCACAAUCUCAGAGUUAACUUAACAUCCAAACUGUUAUUACAUUCUCUGUCCUCAGUUAGUUGGUAGAAUUAUAAUCAGUUAAAAACAGAUUUAAAAAAAAACAGCUUUUACUGAACAUGGAUAUAUAGCAGUGCUACUUUAUAAAAUAAUAGUGUGGCUAAUAUAAUGGCAUUUAUUUAAACAAUUAUUGAGAUUAUUUUUCUCAUCUCUCCUCAUUUUCUGACCUGAGAAAUACAGUUCCAAGUUCACGAGUGAAUGUAAAUGAAGAAACAGGGAAAGCAUUUUAGAAUUUCUUGAAAUCUGGCACCAGGACUGAUUGUACAUAUGUAUAUAUACACUCAUGCAUGUGUGUGCCUAUGUAUGUGUGCAUAUGUGUAUACGUAUGUGUGUAUGAAUAUAUGUAUUUAAUCAUCAUGGGCUGGUAUAUCUGGUUAGAACAAAGUACAAGUAAACCCCAAGUAAUGAGUAAGAUUCCCUCCAGAUCCAGCUAAUUAUUUGAACAUACCCUUUUCAUCACAGCACGUCACUGCUGCAAACAUUGGAAUGCUUUCCCAUGGUUUACUAAACAAAGUACAAAGCUGUCUGACAAUGCAGAUCACAGCAAAGAUCCAAGUGAUGCAUGCCCUUCGGCAGGAUCUUCCCCACCCUGGGUCUCAGUUUUAUCUUCUAGAAAAUACACGUUCAAGAGUGAGAUUUGCAGCUUCCUCCCUGCUCAGACCUCAUGAUUUUGACUGUGAAACCCAUUCAUAUAACUUCAUUAUUCUUAUUCCCAUGUGAGAAGGUAAGUCUAGUAUGAAUGUCAUUUUUGCCCAAACACUCCUGAGCAUUACAUAGACUUAAUUAACGUUUUGCUUCUUCAGAUGUUUUUUCUCAUGUGCAGGCUGUUUACUAAAGGGCCACACAGCAUGUUACCUUCAAUCCGUAGACAUUUCUGGGAGUCAGCUGCGUGCACUGCAGUUGAAGAUGAGAACUAUUGAAUGCUUACCCAGUGCCAGGCCUGUGUCUCCACGCCUCUCGCCUGUCCCCCCUUAGCACCCUAUGAGGUCGACACUGUGGUCACCCUCCCUUGGCAGGUGCAGAGCAGAGGUGAGGAGGGUAAUGACUUGGUUGGCCUGUCUGACUCGGAAGCGCUGUCUUGCUCACCUCCAGUGUGCUGGGACAGCAGCACAGGAACCACCUCAGAGGUGCUCUGGAGAGAGUGACCAGCACCCACCCUUCCAUGCUGCCAGGGGUUCUUCGAUGUGUCCAGUCUUCUCCUCCCAGCUGCGGGCCUCGAGCAUUUAUCUAAAUGUUUCGCCUCCUUCAGACCCUACCUUGCUUUCUCCUCUCCCACUGUGGGUGGGCUGGCCUCCUACCCCCUGAGAAAAUCAAGGACAGUGAGGAGGAGUGCUGUGGACUUCCCCUCUUUAUCUUCAUCAGCUGCACGGGCAGCUGUGCCUUCCUGCUUUGCCCUGGUCUCCUGGUUAUGAAAGCCAAAUCCCCCACGCAGCUGAGUCCCUUUCCCUCCUGCCUUCUUAUGCUCCUGCACUGUCCUCAACUCCUAUCUCUCUUUAUGUUCAGCUGACCCCCCUCAUCCCUACCCUUCGCUUCACACGCCAUUGACAUAGUUGAGCUCACUCCACCUCGAAAAGCCUCUCCCUGAACUCUGAAUAUUCUCUAGCACAUGUGUGUCCACCUCCAUUUGCAGACAGUCCUGUUCUGUGCAGUUUCUUGUUCCUGGCCUUUAGCCCUAGUGAGCCCCUCCUUCAGAUUUUCCUCUCUUAUUUGUCUAUCAAAACAUUCUUCCCCUCAUAACAGGUGCCCCUCCCUCAAUGAGUUCACCAGUGUCAAAACACCUCCCACACCUUGGAGUAACCAUAAGAUUACUUGCUUCUCUCUCCUACUGAACUUUUAGUGUUUUGAGGAUGGAGACCUUGCCAUAGCACGGUUCUACCUUCCAGCAGUACCAGGCACCUGGAGUCCUGGGCCAUAUUCAUUUCAUGCCCCUAUAGAUGCUGAUUAAAGGCCUUUCCCUUCCCAAUCCCCUGCUAAACUCCAACACAUUCUUGCAGACCCAGGUCAAGUCUCUUCUAUGUACCUUCUGAAAACCUACUCAGUGGAAAUCCUUACUAUUAUUACUAACAUCACUUUUUGCACUAUUUGUCCUCUUGAUCUUUCUCUUAGUGGUUUGUGAAGUUUUUAUAUAUUGCUGUUUUUAUGUCUCCAGGACCUGAAACUGUACUAGGUACAUGGUAGGCACUCAACAAAUAUUUAUUGAAUGAAUGGAUCAAUCAACCAAUCAAACUAUGCAAAAUAAAGAGCAUAAGACUGUGAGAGAGGAGACGAAAGCCUGGCUGGGAGGGAAAGGCCAUAAGGAGUAAUAAGAUAGGAAAGUGUUAGGGUGUGUGGGAGAUCACAAAACAGUAUUUUCAGCGGUCUCCGUUGAGAGUUGACAUCUGCUUUUCCACCCCUCGAAUCUAGGUUUGGCCUUGCAACAGAUGGACCAACAGAACACUAGGAAACACGAUUCAAGUAGCAUCUUGAAAUGUGAUCCUGCAUUGGGGGUCCCCUCUCUUCACUGCACCCGGAACUCAGGCUUCAUCUUUUGGGAGUGUGAGAGGAGUGACAGUUUAAGGAGGCUUCACAGGCGUCCAUACAACCACAGGAUGAACAGCCUUUUAGAAGUUACUGUUGCCCUUCCAGGAAGACAAGUUUCAUUGCCUGACCCUUUUGUUUCGCCCCAAACCAUCAGGAUAACUGAAAGCCACUCCAACAUGUUGAUUGGGGUAGCCGAGGAAUGAUGCAGACCAGAGCAUCAGAGUAGGUGACAGGCAUUUGACAGUGGACACCCAAAAAAGCACUACUUACAAUAGCAAAAACUUAGAACCAAUCCAAAUGUCCAACAAUAGUAGACUGGAUUAAGAAAAUGUGGCACAUAUACACCAUGGA
rnacentral:lncRNA from 10 species